UACGGAGGGUGCAAGCGUUAAUCGGAAUUACUGGGCGUAAAGCGUGCGCAGGCGGUUUGUUAAGUCUGAUGUGAAAGCCCUGGGCUCAACCUGGGAAUUGCAUUGGAUACUGGCGGGCUAGAGUGCGGUAGAGGAUGGCGGAAUUCCCGGUGUAGCAGUGAAAUGCGUAGAGAUCGGGAGGAACAUCCGUGGCGAAGGCGGCCAUCUGGACCAGCACUGACACUGAGGCACGAAAGCGUGGGGAGCAAACAGG
rnacentral:rRNA from 1 species